rnacentral:rRNA from 1 species
AACUAACGCUGGCGGCGCGUCUUAAACAUGCAAGUCAAACGGGUAGCAAUACCAGUGGCGAACGGGUGAGUAAUACAUGGAUAAUCUACCUUUAAGUUGGGGAUAACACAGAGAAAUUUGUGCUAAUACCGAAUGUGACGGUUCCUGGUAGCAGGGAUUGGUUAAAGCAGCAAUGCGCUUGAAGAUGGGUCCAUGGCUGACUAGCUAGUUGGUGGGGUAAAGGCCCACCAAGGCGACGAUCAGUAGCCGGCCUGAGAGGGUGAACGGCCACAAUGGAACUGAGACACGGUCCAUACUCCUACGGGAGGCAGCAGUUAAGAAUCUUGCUCAAUGGGCGAAAGCCUGAAGCAGCGACGCCGCGUGAACGAUGAAGGUCUUCGGAUUGUAAAGUUCAGUAAGUAGGGACGAAAAAAAUGACGGUACCUACCUAAAGCACCGGCUAACUACGUGCCAGCCGCCGCAGUAA